rnacentral:rRNA from 1 species
UACGUAGGGUGCAAGCGUUAAUCGGAAUUACUGGGCGUAAAGCGUGCGCAGGCGGUUGUGCAAGUCAGGUGUGAAAUCCCCGGGCUUAACCUGGGAACUGCACUUGUGACUGCACAGCUGGAGUACGGCAGAGGGGGAUGGAAUUCCGCGUGUAGCAGUGAAAUGCGUAGAUAUGCGGAGGAACACCGAUGGCGAAGGCAGUCCCCUGGGCCUGUACUGACGCUCAUGCACGAAAGCGUGGGGAGCAAACAGG